GAGGAAGGCUAGCAGCAAUAAGCACUGCUAAUGCUUAUACCCGCGGCUAAAUUCCGCGGCUUUCUCA
rnacentral:tRNA from 1 species